rnacentral:rRNA from 1 species
GUUCGGAUUGUAGGCUGAAACUCGCCUACAUGAAGCUGGAGUUGCUAGUAAUCGCGAAUCAGCAUGUCGCGGUGAAUACAUUCCCGGGCCUUGUACACACCGCCCGUCACACCAUGAGAGUUGGCAAUACCCAACGUACGUGAUCUAACCCGCAAGGGAGGAAGCGUCCUAAGGUAGGGUCAGCGAUUGGGGUGAAGUCGUAACAAGGUAAC